ensembl:lncRNA
GGGGAAAAUAUCCAACACUGCCUGCUGCCUGUGAAAAUAGUGCAAUAGCUGGAAUACAAUAAUCUAAAUAUGUAACUUCCAAAGAUAAUAAAUAUACUGGGUACAAACUCCAUAAUUGUAUAUCUCAGAACAGAGGCUGUGAAGUACCCAACUUGUAUUUUAUUAACACAGUCGAAACUGACAUUCUGUGACUUCGCUCAGGUCUUGACUUAAAUCUUGACAGAAAAAUUUCCAAAGCCUGGAUCUCAAUACUAGAUUGUCUGAUUCAAAAAGCUGAACAAGGGGGCAAGUUCCAGCUUUAAUAUUUUUUCAAGCAUAAAUUUCUGAGUGAUUGCAGUGUGCAGCUAGGGCUGAGUGACAACCUCGGAUCCGCUUGCUGGGAUGGGACAGGCUCUCCCGGUUUGUACAUAUAUUUCAAGGUGUGCAGUAUGUGGACAGCCAUGCUGCAGGUCAUUCGGGAACAUCUUUAGAACCGCCCCAGCUUUGUCAGGACAAGGAUUUGUCUUUCUUCUUCAAAUCAUCUGAUCCACCCUGGCACCGGGGCGCUCGCUGUGUUUGUUAAAUGGCGUGUUGAUGAACUAGCCCGAGACUCUCCUCGGGAACUGAAGCUCGCUUAAGAUUCUGCUCAGCAGCUGAGAUCGUGAUCUCAAAGGACUUUCAGAAUUGCAUAGGGCAGACAUUAUUCUAGAAGCCAGCAGGAGUGACUGUGUAAUAUGUCACCGAUAAUAGCUUCUCAUCUUGAACAUGAGUUUAUUUCUUCUAAAGUCAUUUUUCCGACCUUUUUCACCUCCUUUCCAAUGAAAAUAGAAAUGCCACACCCCUUGUUACUGUUAAAUAUGUUUACAGCAGAAAGGGAAAAGCGGCUGUGAAACAAUAUAAGCAAGAAGUCAGAAGCUACCUCGUCUCAUCACAACCAGGAUUGUAACAAUAUUAAGAAAAUAAGUACACAGCUGCUUUGUGAAUCUUCAGGAUCAUUGGAAUGACAGAAAACUGCAGGCUCCGUGUGUCCUGUCAUGCUGAAGGCCAUGCUGCUCUGUUUCUCUCCAGAGACCUCAAAUGCCAAGUCAAAUCAUUUCACCUUUGUGUUUUGAUCCAGCAUUUGUGUUAGGUAAGGAUACAGACUCCCUAAGACUCAUCAGAACAAAGACUCUGCUCUGUGACUGUUGAAAAAUAGAGUAUCUUCUCCCUUGUCUGGACCCUGGAGAGAACUAAAUUUAAAUCUCACAAAGGCAGAAAGCAGCUUGCCCCGGUCCUCUCACAGACAACAUUCGUAUUCUUGGGCUUCACUCCCUGCCUUGAACUGCUUGGAAUUUUAAACUCCAAGGCUCUCCACCAGGAAUGAGAAGACCUGGAUUCUAUUCUUGGCAUGGCUGGCGCGUGGCUCUGUGACCCUGAGCAGAUGACUUAACCUCAGGACCUCUUCGCUCCUGUAAAAUGAGAAGAGUAGCUGGCUGAUGUCAGAGGCGCUUCUGGCUCUAAAAUUCUCUCAGCUUUACCAGGACAGGAAGCUGGUGAAGCAUCUGCAAUAAACCACUCCUGAGAUGCCCAGGGAAAAAGACCAUUGAUAGAUAC